rnacentral:rRNA from 1 species
AUUGAACGCUGGCGGCAGGCCUAACACAUGCAAGUCGAGCGGAGCGGCAGACGGGGACGUGAUGCCUAGGAAUCUGACUGGGAGUGGGGGAUAGGGACCGGUACCGGGCGCUAAUACUACAUCCUAUCAAUUGAGCCUAGGUCGGAUUCGCUAGUUGGUGGGGGAAGGGCAUACCAAGGCGACGAUCCGUAACUGGUCUGAGAGGGUGAGCAGUCACACUGGAACUGAGACACGGUCCAGACUCCUACGGGAGGCAGCAGUGGGGAAUAUUGGACAAUGGGCGAAAGCCUGAUCCAGCCAUGCCGCGUGUGUGAAGAAGGUCUUCGGAUUGUAAAGCACUUUAAGUUGGGAGGCGUUACCAACAGAAUAAGCACCGGCUAACUACGUGCCAGCAGCCGCGGUAAUUC